rnacentral:rRNA from 1 species
AUGAGGGCCGGCAAGUGGGACGAGCUGCCCUGCGCGCGCUUGGCGUCCACGGCCAUGCGCCAGUACAAGAGGCGUCCUGGCUGUGCUUCUUUCUUAUGGUCCAUGGACAUUGUCAUAAUGGUCACCUUAUCGCAGUGUAUUAUUUUUGGAUCUCAUAUUCCUCAAGGCGCUCCAUCCUCUGAUUCGAUGUUGGCCGAUCUGAGAAAUAAGUGGAGGAAUAAUCCAGCAGAAGAAUUUGGUGAAGAAGAACAAGAAAAGAAUACCUUUAUCCUGAUAGGCAUGGAAACACCGGUUCGCAUUGAGUGCAUCAUCGCUAAUCAGCUAUUAUUAGAGAGCAAGGGACAUAUAAGAAAUCUCCAGGCAGCUUCACUUAGAUGCAUCAUCUUCUGCUAG